GAUCCGAAUCCUCCUACAACUACCCAGUUAAUAACGACACCAAACAGUACAGUCCCGGCAUCUCCACAGCCUACAACAGCCGCUUCGGCUACAGAACCCUUCCCAUACAUCAUUCCGAUCGCUGUGGCGGCUGGAGCUACUCUGGGACUUAUUCUAAUCAUCUGUAUUAUAAUCUGCUGUAUAUGGCGUAACCGAGGCAACACGAGUAUAGAUCGUCCAGAUGUAAGGAAAGAGAGCGUCACAGAAGUGAACAUCGUCAAGAGAGGUGACGACAACAGGGUGAAAACAGCGCCCAGAUUCAAAGAGGAUUCCAACUGGAACCGUCCUGAUCUCACCCCCA